GGGGUUUUCCGUAGGGUGACCUGCGAGAGGAUCAUUAAUGAAACUUCAAAGUCGGCUUUGUCAUCUGUGCUGGUGGAGACACAUGUGCACGUCGACAAAGUCGCAAACCCCACACACCUGUGCAUCUAUGACUCUGAGUACCGCUUUGCAUGGGCUGUCAAACGCCCUGGUACUCGAGUAACUUUCACACACUCUGAAUGUAAUGGAAUGUCUAUUGUACAAUGUACAACCAAAAACAACUUUCAACAACGGAUCUCUUGGCUCUCGCAUCGAUGAAGAACGCAGCGAAAUGCGAUAAGUAAUGUGAAUUGCAGAAUUCAGUGAAUCAUCGAAUCUUUGAACGCACCUUGCACCCUUUGGUAUUCCGAAGGGUACACCCGUUUGAGUGUCAUUGUAAUCUCACUACAACCGCUUUUUUGUGGUUGCAUGUGGACUUGGAUGUUGCCGUGUAACAAACGGCUCGUCUGAAAUGCCUGAGUGUACCCUGCUUUGCGGUGUAUUCGGUGUGAUAAAUCUUCACCGGAGUUGACCUUCAGGGUCGCGUCUGCUUGGCAUGGCUCUAUGCUUCCAACCGUCCUGACAAGACAAUCUUUGACAAUUUGACCUCAAAUCGGGUGGGACUACCCGCUGAACUUAAGCAUAU
rnacentral:rRNA from 1 species